UACGGAGGGAGCUAGCGUUGUUCGGAUAUACUGGGCGUAAAGCGUGCGCAGGCGGUUGUGCAAGACAGAUGUGAAAUCCCCCGGGCUCAACCCUGGGAAUUGCAUUUGUGACUGCACGGCUAGAGUGUGUCAGAGGGGGGUAGAAUUCCACGUGUAGCAGUGAAAUGCGUAGAGAUGUGGAGGAAUACCGAUGGCGAAGGCAGCCCCCCUGGGAUAACACUGACGCUCAUGCACGAAAAGCGUGGGGGAGCAAACAGG
rnacentral:rRNA from 1 species